ensembl:snRNA U6 U6 spliceosomal RNA
GUGCUUCAGCAGCACAUAUACUAAAAAAUUAGUAUGAGACAGAGAAGAUUAGUAUGGCUCCUGUACAAGGGUGACAUGCAAAUUUGUGAAACAUUUCAUAUUUUU